UACGUAGGGGGCAAGCGUUGUCCGGAAUCAUUGGGCGUAAAGCGCGUGUAGGCGGCUCGAUAAGUCUGCUGUGAAAGUCCAGGGCUCAACCCUGGAAUGCCGGUGGAAACUGUCGAGCUAGAGUCCGGAAGAGGCGAGUGGAAUUCCUGGUGUAGCGGUGAAAUGCGCAGAUAUCAGGAGGAACACCAAUGGCGAAGGCAGCUCGCUGGGAAGGUACUGACGCUGAGACGCGAAAGCGUGGGGAGCAAACAGG
rnacentral:rRNA from 1 species